AUUGAACGCUGGCGGCAUGCUUUACACAUGCAAGUCGAACGGUAACAGGCCGCAAGGUGCUGACGAGUGGCGAACGGGUGAGUAAUGCAUCGGAACGUGCCCAGUCGUGGGGGAUAACUGCUCGAAAGAGCAGCUAAUACCGCAUACGAUCUAUGGAUGAAAGCGGGGGACCGUAAGGCCUCGCGCGAUUGGAGCGGCCGAUGUCAGAUUAGGUAGUUGGUGGGGUAAAGGCGCACCAAGCCAACGAUCAGUAGCUGGUCUGAGAGGACGACCAGACACAAUGGGACUGAGACGCGGCCCAGACGCCUACGGGAGGCAGCAGUGGGGAAUUUUGGACAAUGGGGGCAACCCUGAUCCAGCAAUGCCGCGUGCAGGAAGAAGGCCUUCGGGUUGUAAACUGCUUUUGUACGGAACGAAACGGUCUGGGUUAAUACCCUGGGCUAAUGACGGUACCGUAAGAAUAAGCACCGGCUAACUACGUGCCAGCCGCCGCCGUAACAC
rnacentral:rRNA from 1 species